rnacentral:rRNA from 1 species
UACGGAGGGUGCAGGCGUUAUCCGGAUUCACUGGGUUUAAAGGGUGCGUAGGUGGGCAGGUAAGUCCGUGGUGAAAUCUCUGAGCUUAACUCAGAAACUGCCGUGGAUACUAUUUGUCUUGAAUGUUGUGGAGGUGAGCGGAAUAUGUCAUGUAGCGGUGAAAUGCUUAGAUAUGACAUAGAACACCAAUUGCGAAGGCAGCUCACUACACAAUUAUUGACGCUGAGGCACGAAAGCGUGGGGAUCAAACAGG